rnacentral:lncRNA from 1 species
UUAAAAAUCAGAAUUAGAAACUAGAAAUUAUUUGGAGAAGAAUGCAAUUGGUCCCAUAUUUUUUGGAUUUAAAAUGAAGAAGAUAUGAAUUUUUGAAAAUAAUGGAAAUAAAAGAAAUAAAAUCAGAAAAUAGAAAAUAAGAAAAAACAAGGAGCGUUGGAUUGGAUCUCAUUAAUUGACGUGGCCAAUCCUGAGGUUCAGAAGCGCGCGCUCAUGGUAAGUCCAAGUCAAUGAGAAACAUCCAACAUUAAAAUAAGUC